UACAGAGGGUGCAAGCGUUAAUCGGAAUUACUGGGCGUAAAGCGUGCGUAGGCGGAUAUUUAAGUCAGAUGUGAAAGCCCUGGGCUCAACCUAGGAAUUGCAUCUGAUACUGGAUGUCUAGAGUAUGGUAGAGGAUAGCGGAAUUUCCGGUGUAGCGGUGAAAUGCGUAGAUAUCGGAAGGAACACCAGUGGCGAAGGCGGCUAUCUGGGCCAAUACUGACGCUGAGGCACGAAAGCGUGGGGAGCGAACAGG
rnacentral:misc_RNA from 1 species